UCAGGCCUAACACAUGCAAGUCGUACGAGAGUUUUUAACUCUAGUGGCGGACGGGUGAGUAACACGUGAGAAUUUGCCUUUAGGAGGGGGACAACAAUUGGAAACGAAUGCUAAUACCCCAUAUGCUUUCGAGUGAAAUGGAUUUUAUCCGCCUAGAGAGAAGCUCGCGGCUGAUUAGCUUGUUGGUAAGGUAAGAGCUUACCAAGGCGACGAUCAGUAUCUGGUUUGAGAGGACGAUCAGACACACUGGAACUGAGACACGGUCCAGACUCCUACGGGAGGCAGCAGUGGGGAAUUUUCCGCAAAGGGCGAAAGCCUGACGGAGCAAUACCGCGUGAGGGAAGAAGGCCUAUGGGUUGUAAACCUCU
rnacentral:rRNA from 1 species